AGUGUUGAAUGCAGCCAAGAAUGGCUUGCCGGUUUUCCUUCUUUUAAGACACGGAAUUGUAGCCAGCAAGCUAUUUUUGGCUAUGUUCAUCUCCCU
rnacentral:pre_miRNA from 1 species